CCUACGGGAGUCAGCAGUGAGGAAUAUUGGUCAAUGGACGAGAGUCUGAACCAGCCAAGUAGCGUGAAGGAUGACUGCCCUAUGGGUUGUAAACUUCUUUUAUAUGGGAAUAAAAUGUUCCACGUGUGGGAUUUUGUAUGUACCAUAUGAAUAAGGAUCGGCUAACUCCGUGCCAGCAGCCGCGGUAAUACGGAGGAUCCGAGCGUUAUCCGGAUUUAUUGGGUUUAAAGGGAGCGUAGGUGGAUUGUUAAGUCAGUUGUGAAAGUUUGCGGCUCAACCGUAAAAUUGCAGUUGAAACUGGCAGUCUUGAGUACAGUAGAGGUGGGCGGAAGUCGUGGUGUAGCGGUGAAAGGCUUAGAUAUCACGAAGAACUCCGAUUGCGAAGGCAGCUCACUGGACUGCAACUGACACUGAGGCUCGAAAGUGUGGGUAUCAAACAGGAUUAGAUACCCGAGUAGUC
rnacentral:rRNA from 1 species